rnacentral:rRNA from 1 species
UUGGCGACCAAAACGAAAAGGAAACACCCGUUCCCAUUCCGAACACGGAAGUUAAGCUUUUCGGUGAUCUGGACGGUACUGCGUUCGCGCGGGAAAUCCAGGACGUUGCC